ACUCAAAAUGUCUGCACAAAUUAAAAAUCAAAUGCUCAAACCAUAUUUCAUUUCCUCAUUUGGAUUUGAUUUUUAAUUUUCAUCAUCAACCCAGGAGAAACCUGUCAAAAUUGAAUAUAAAAGUCAAUGCUCAAGUCAUGAAUCUGAUGCUCAAAUUAUAUAUCAAAUACUCAAAUGCACAUGGCAAAUGAUAAAUCAAAUGCUCAAACGCACAUCGCAAAUGAUAAAUCAAAUGCUCAAACAGACAUCGCAAAUGGCAAAUAAAAUGCUCAAACCUACAUCGCAAAUGUUACAUCAAAAGUUGAAUGUCAAUCAACCUAGUGUGGGCGGAGCUUUGAGAUGGAAGAGAUCAAGAUCGGAUGGUGGAAAUUGUUUUUCAAACUAUAAUUUUACAUUUGCGUGGACAAGCAACGUCAUUUUUUGUGGUUGAAAGUGCAAGUGAAUUCGUGGAGCUUUUAGUGAGUAGUUAGAAAGCAAAUGUGUUAGACAGACAGUUUUGUUUUUUUUUUUGUUAACACUUGAACACCUGACAGGCGAAUUUAGCAGUCAUACACAGCAAAAAACGUUGGGUUGUUUUUUUUAACCCAACCGUUGGGUUACACAUAUUGGGUCAAUGUGUUGGGUUAUCUUAAAAUUUGUUGGGUAAUUUUUUUCGUCGUUGGGUUAUUAGUUGGGUUAUUUAGUUAUAACCCAACUGUUGGGUUAAAUAUGUUUCCCGCUUCACUCCUGUUCAAAUUUUAACGGUCCAGUCAGAGACUCAGUGCGGACAUCAGCAGCAGCCUGCGUGAUUAUGAAGGGUAAGUAACUGUUAAUAUAAUCAUAUGAUGUAUAUAACUGUCAUAACAUUAAGUAAUGUGUCUGAUAUGUUAAUUAUUGUUUUUUUAUACGUUAAAAAAGUUUUAAUUCCCUUUAGUCCGUUUGUUUCCCCCAGAUAAUCAGAUCGAUUGUCAAUUAAUGCUAUUCAUGUUUGUUAGCCAGUAUUAAUACAAUAAAAGAUUUAGACAAGUAUGACUUAAAAGUUAAUAAAAAUGUUAGAAAAGCCGCACGGACCAUUUAUCGGAUCGGACCAGUGAAAGAAGCUGCUCGAGCGAGCUCUGAGCUCACACACCAGUAAUGCGACAGACAACAGACUCCGCGAGAAUCGUUUGAAUGAACCUGCAAUUUUCUGUUAUAAAAGUUCAAAACCCAGACGAAAGAAGAGCGCGCAGUCGUGAGGCAAUCCGCUCUUUCAGCGGAAAUUUAUACUAGUGCCCCAAAUUUACAUAACAUUACUCCUCCCACCAAUCUUUAAGAGGGGAGCUAAAAACAGAAAAGUCAUAUUCGUCUUAGCGCACCAGCACUAAUUAAUUGUACUGUAAAAGUGUUUUUAUGAUUUAACUUAUUCAUAUUGAAUAUUGUUAUGCAUCUAUUGGAAUACCCUAUAAUUACAGCAGUUUCUCUUAUGAAGCUAGAUUGAUUGACAUGUUUUUUAAAUUUGUUGUACUAAAUGUGUUUAUACUUAUGUUUUAGACAAUGGACUUUUUCGUGAUGGAAAAAAUGCAACAAUAUAAUUUCUGCCUGUUAACUGAAACAUUUCAAGGCCUUCGUGCAGAAAUUAUCUUUAAACCCCUUCCUGCCAUCUGCACCAUACCACACAAAUGGAAAAAUGGUCUGCAUAUCAUACACGGAAAUGAAGUUGUCCUUCAUUGACAUUCAACCUGUUUACACUAAUUAGUGCUGUACUUGAAUCACGAGACAAGCCAGUAUUCACAUGUCUUGAUGCUUGGUGACAAGGAAAACUCCUCCCAAGAUUUUAUUAUUUUAAACGGGGAGGCGAUGGAAUAGAAGACGAUACUACAAGCAGUCGAUCGGUGUUUCAAACUUUUCUUUGUAUAUGACAUCUACUACCCAAAGCCCUCUGUUCCCAUUUGAGAGUUUUUGGAACACACAGUCUUUGAUAGUUUCUUCUGCACACUGUCUCCUCCUUAAAAACUUUGUAUUUAGUAAUCAAUAAAAAAACUUUUUUAUUUUAUUGAUCAUCAGUAGGUCCAGCAGUAUAUUAUUAUUAUUACUUGAUUUUAUGAUUAUUUUUUGUUUUAUUAUAUGUUAUGUUCAUUUUACACACACAGCAGUGAGAAGUGAAUACACACCCGGAACAGUGGGCAGCUAUAAAUCCAGCGUCUGGAGAGCAACUGGGGGUACAGUGCCUUGCUCAAGUGCACUUCAGCCAUGGGUAUUGAGGUUGGGAGAGAGCGCUGUUCAUUCACUCCCUCUCACCUACAACUCCUGCCAGUACCGAGACCUAAAACCUGUGACUUUCGGUUUCCAGGUCCAACUCUCUAGCCAUUAGGCCACAGCUGUGAACUGUAUUUGCACAUUUGUGUGUUUUGAUAUGAAUAUGAAUCAACACAUUUGUACAUCUUGAAAA